UGCAAUCACUACUGUAAGUCGCUCUGGAUAAGAGCAUCUGCUAAAUGACAAUCU
rfam:Salmo salar isolate Sally breed double haploid chromosome ssa17, whole genome shotgun sequence.